rnacentral:rRNA from 1 species
AGAGAUGCACUGGGUUUAAAGCGUGCGCAGGUCGGUUUUGUAAGACAGAGGUGAAAUCCCCGGGCUCAACCUGGGAACUGCCUUUGUGACUGCAAGGCCGGAGUGCGGCAGAGGGGGAUGGAAUUCCGCGUGUAGCAGUGAAAUGCGUAGAUAUGCGGAGGAACACCGAUGGCGAAGGCAAUCCCCUGGGCCUGCACUGACGCUCAUGCACGAAAGCGUGGGGAGCAAACA